CCCCCCCCCAUAGAACCCAAACCCAUAAUCAUACCACCCAUACCACGCAGACUCAUAGGACCCCCUAUUAUUGCAUCAUCUCCCGAAACUGUUACUGAUGAUGUCCCUCUACACUUCAAUGAUUUUCCAAGACCCAGAGAUGUUACUUCCCCACUCCUCAUUCAGACUCUCAAAUUCCAAACCAUCUUGACAACAUGCGCUCAUGUCACUGCACGCACUUGUUUGACAACCACUGAUCCUAACGUUGCUACAUCGGUUUUAGCGGCUUGUCUCAUUCCAUCUCUCUAUCAAUGCGUGUAUCCCGAUUCAACUACACCUGGUGAGCCACCUCUUAUGCGGUAAAAUUAUUUUCGAAAUAUUUGCCAUAUUACUAAGAGAAGAAUAGCCGGGCUUGCCGGCUUGCUCAGCUCAGCCUAUAUAAUAAUCCUUUUUCUCUAGCUUGCUAGAGACUAAAGUCUUUAAUUAUAUUGCCUCUCCUGAAACAUUCCGAGUGAUAUAUGUCAACUAUAUAUGAUUGGCUUAACUUGGUAUAAUUUAUGAUGAAUGAUAUGUUAUACCUUCAAUAUUUCAAUUAGCAAUAAAUUCACUGUCAUGUUGUCUCUC